rnacentral:rRNA from 1 species
GACGAACCGUCCGAACGUUAUUCGGAAUCACUGGGCUUAAAGGGUGCGUAGGCGGCGCGGAAAGUUGGGUGUGAAAUCCCUCGGCUCAACCGAGGAACUGCGCCCAAUACUACCGUGCUCGAGGGAGAUAGAGGUGAGCGGAACUUAGGGUGGAGCGGUGAAAUGCGUUGAUAUCCUAAGGAACACCGGUGGCGAAAGCGGCUCACUGGAUCUCUUCUGACGCUGAGGCACGAAAGCUAGGGUAGCGAACGGGG